rnacentral:rRNA from 1 species
UACGAAGGGUGCAAACGUUGCUCGGAAUUAUUGGGCGUAAAGGGCGCGUAGGCGGCUUGGCAAGUGGAAGGUGAAAUCCCUCGGCUUAACCGAGGAACUGCCCUCCAAACUGCUUUGCUUGAGGCCGGGAGAGGUGAGUGGAAUUCCCAGUGUAGCGGUGAAAUGCGUAGAUAUUGGGAGGAACACCAGUGGCGAAGGCGGCUCACUGGACCGGUUCUGACGCUGAUGCGCGAAAGCGUGGGGAGCAAACGGG